AUACGGAGGAUGCGAGCGUUAUCCGGAUUUAUUGGGUUUAAAGGGAGCGUAGGUGGGAUAUUAAGUCAGCUGUGAAAGUUUGGGGCUCAACCUUAAAAUUGCAGUUGAUACUGGUUUCCUUGAGUACGGUACAGGUGGGCGGAAUUCGUGGUGUAGCGGUGAAAUGCUUAGAUAUCACGAAGAACUCCGAUCGCGAAGGCAGCUCACCGGGCCGGAACUGACACUGAUGCUCGAAAGUGCGGGUAUCAAACAGGAUUAGAUACCCUGGUAGUCCACACAGUAAACUAUGAAUACUCGCUGUUUGCGAUAUACAGUAAGCGGCCAAGCGAAAGCAUUAAGUAUUCCACCUGGGGAGUACGCCGGCAACGGUGAAACUCAAAGGAAUUGACGGGG
rnacentral:rRNA from 1 species